rnacentral:rRNA from 1 species
GAUGAACGCUGGCGGCGUGCCUAAUACAUGCAAGUCGAGCGAACGGACGAGAAGCUUGCUUCUCUGAUGUUAGCGGCGGACGGGUGAGUAACACGUGGAUAACCUACCUAUAAGACUGGGAUGACUUCGGGAAACCGUAGCUAAUACCGGAUAAUAUUUUGAACCGCAUGGUUCAAAAGUGAAAGACGGUCUUGCUGUCACUUAUAGAUGGAUCCGCGCUGCAUUAGCUAGUUGGUAAGGUAACGGCUUACCAAGGCAACGAUGCAUAGCCGACCUGAGAGGGUGAUCGGCCACACUGGAACUGAGACACGGUCCAGACUCCUACGGGAGGCAGUAGUAGGGAAUCUUCCGCAAUGGGCGAAAGCCUGACGGAGCAACGCCGCGUGAGUGAUGAAGGUCUUCGGAUCGUAAAACUCUGUUAUUAGGGAAGAACAUAUGUGUAAGUAACUGUGCACAUCUUGACGGUACCUAAUCAGAAAGCCACGGCUAACUACGUG